UUAUACAAGCCCAAUAUAAUGAUCAUAUGAUCCUCAUCCUAAUCUAAUCCUCCUCUCCUUGAGAAACCCUGGCUGGAAGAAAGUCAAUGAUUAGGGUUGACCUGAGGUCAAAACCCUAAUCCAAAGGAACUGGAGCAUGCACAAUGAAGCCCUGGAUGAUUAUAGAACCAUGAUGAUGGUAACAUAUCCUUGCAACCAACAUAAUGCUCAAGCUCUUUGAAGGAUCAGGAAAC
rnacentral:lncRNA from 1 species